rnacentral:ncRNA from 1 species
GUUUGCACUGAACCUUUACCGAAAGAUUUUUCUCCGAUAACAACGGCGCGUUUGUGGUCUUGUAAUGCUCCGGCCACGAUUUCCGAAGCUGAAGCUGAACCGUCAUUAAUCAGUACGACAAUCGGUAGUCCGUUCAAAAUAUCACCUUCUUUGGCGGUGUAACGAACCGUAUCUUCUUCAUUGCGUGAACGGGUUGAAACAAUUUCGCCUUGUUCAAGGAAUAAGUCGGAAAUAUUAACCGCUUGAUCCAAUAAUCCUCCGGGGUUGUUGCGC